rnacentral:rRNA from 1 species
AGUGAACGCUGGCGGUAGGCCUAACACAUGCAAGUCGAACGGCAGCACAGUAAGAGCUUGCUCUUACGGGUGGCGAGUGGCGGACGGGUGAGGAAUACAUCGGAAUCUACUUUUUCGUGGGGGAUAACGUAGGGAAACUUACGCUAAUACCGCAUACGACCUACGGGUGAAAGCAGGGGAUCUUCGGACCUUGCGCGAUUGAAUGAGCCGAUGUCGGAUUAGCUAGUUGGCGGGGUAAAGGCCCACCAAGGCGACGAUCCGUAGCUGGUCUGAGAGGAUGAUCUGCCACACUGGAACUGAGACACGGUCCAGACUCCUACGGGAGGCAGCAGUGGGGAAUAUUGGACAAUGGGCGCAAGCCUGAUCCAGCCAUACCGCGUGGGUGAAGAAGGCCUUCGGGUUGUAAAGCCCUUUUGUUGGGAAAAAAAGCAGCAGGUUAAUACCCCGCUGUUCUGACGGUACCCAAAGAAUAAGCACCGGCUAACUUCGUG